rnacentral:rRNA from 1 species
AGAGUUUGAUCCUGGCUCAGAUUGAACGCUGGCGGCAGGCCUAACACAUGCAAGUCGAGCGGUAGCACAGAGAGCUUGCUCUCGGGUGACGAGCGGCGGACGGGUGAGUAAUGUCUGGGAAACUGCCUGAUGGAGGGGGAUAACUACUGGAAACGGUAGCUAAUACCGCAUAACGUCGCAAGACCAAAGUGGGGGACCUUCGGGCCUCAUGCCAUCAGAUGUGCCCAGAUGGGAUUAGCUAGUAGGUGGGGUAACGGCUCACCUAGGCGACGAUCCCUAGCUGGUCUGAGAGGAUGACCAGCCACACUGGAACUGAGACACGGUCCAGACUCCUACGGGAGGCAGCAGUGGGGAAUAUUGCACAAUGGGCGCAAGCCUGAUGCAGCCAUGCCGCGUGUGUGAAGAAGGCCUUCGGGUUGUAAAGCACUUUCAGCGGGGAGGAAGGCGGUGAGGUUAAUAACCUCAUCGAUUGACGUUACCCGCAGAAGAAGCACCGGCUAACUCCGUGCCAGCAGCCGCGGUAAUACGGAGGGUGCAAGCGUUAAUCGGAAUUACUGGGCGUAAAGCGCACGCAGGCGGUCUGUCAAGUCGGAUGUGAAAUCCCCGGGCUCAACCUGGGAACUGCAUUCGAAACUGGCAGGCUAGAGUCUUGUAGAGGGGGGUAGAAUUCCAGGUGUAGCGGUGAAAUGCGUAGAGAUCUGGAGGAAUACCGGUGGCGAAGGCGGCCCCCUGGACAAAGACUGACGCUCAGGUGCGAAAGCGUGGGGAGCAAACAGGAUUAGAUACCCUGGUAGUCCACGCCGUAAACGAUGUCGAUUUGGAGGUUGUGCCCUUGAGGCGUGGCUUCCGGAGCUAACGCGUUAAAUCGACCGCCUGGGGAGUACGGCCGCAAGGUUAAAACUCAAAUGAAUUGACGGGGGCCCGCACAAGCGGUGGAGCAUGUGGUUUAAUUCGAUGCAACGCGAAGAACCUUACCUGGUCUUGACAUCCACAGAACUUUCCAGAGAUGGAUUGGUGCCUUCGGGAACUGUGAGACAGGUGCUGCAUGGCUGUCGUCAGCUCGUGUUGUGAAAUGUUGGGUUAAGUCCCGCAACGAGCGCAACCCUUAUCCUUUGUUGCCAGCGGUUAGGCCGGGAACUCAAAGGAGACUGCCAGUGAUAAACUGGAGGAAGGUGGGGAUGACGUCAAGUCAUCAUGGCCCUUACGACCAGGGCUACACACGUGCUACAAUGGCAUAUACAAAGAGAAGCGAUCUCGCGAGAGCAAGCGGACCUCAUAAAGUAUGUCGUAGUCCGGAUUGGAGUCUGCAACUCGACUCCAUGAAGUCGGAAUCGCUAGUAAUCGUAGAUCAGAAUGCUACGGUGAAUACGUUCCCGGGCCUUGUACACACCGCCCGUCACACCAUGGGAGUGGGUUGCAAAAGAAGUAGGUAGCUUAACCUUCGGGAGGGCGCUUACCACUUUGUGAUUCAUGACUGGGGUGAAGUCGUAACAAGGUAACC